rnacentral:rRNA from 1 species
UACGAAGGGGGCUAGCGUUGUUCGGAAUCACUGGGCGUAAAGGGCGCGUAGGCGGCUUUGUAAGUCGGGGGUGAAAGCCUGUGGCUCAACCACAGAAUUGCCUUCGAUACUGCAUGGCUUGAGACCGGAAGAGGUUAGUGGAACUGCGAGUGUAGAGGUGAAAUUCGUAGAUAUUCGCAAGAACACCAGUGGCGAAGGCGGCUGACUGGUCCGGUUCUGACGCUGAGGUGCGAAAGCGUGGGGAGCAAACAGG